GGUGAGGAGGAGGAGGAGGAGGCGUGUGUCUGGGGGUGGUGUCUAAUGCCAGUGAGGGGAAGAAGAGGACAGGCAGAGGCAUGAGGAGAUCAACAGUAGACGAGGAGAGGAAGACCCCAUCGCCCCCCUACUCCUAACCUUCCCCCUACUCCUAACCUUCCCCCUACUCCUAACCUUCCCCCUA